GAAAGAUGACGUGGAGUUUCCUAACAGGAGAAGGACUUGGACUCAAUGUUUAGGAGAGAAAGAUGAAAACAUCAGGAUUGCUGUCCUCAAGGAUCAAAGAGACCCACAGAAAACUAGAGAUGAGACCUCUCCACAAAAAACUAUCCUAAUCCAAUGAGCCAUGCUAUGCUUUGGAUCAUGAAUGCCACAUUUCUGUUGGACCUUGAAAUCAUCUGCCAUCGCAUAUCUGACAAUCUAAAAGAACACAUCAGAUUGUCAGAAGAAACUGAAUGGACAGCACAUUUUCUUUUUUUUAGGACAGACUGAGAUGAAAACCAUUAUGAAGUUUUUGCAGACUUGCCAGGAAUGUAUGUGGGA